rnacentral:rRNA from 1 species
GUGAGGAAUAUUGGUCAAUGGACGCAAGUCUGAACCAGCUAUGCCGCGUGCAGGAAGAAGGUUCUAUGAUCGUAAACUGCUUUUGUACAGGAAGAAAUUAUCCCUCGUGAGGGAGCUUGACGGUACUGUAAGAAUAAGGAUCGGCUAACUCCGUGCCAGCAGCCGCGGUAAUACGGAGGAUCCAAGCGUUAUCCGGAAUCAUUGGGUUUAAAGGGUUCGUAGGCGGUUUUGUAAGUCAGUGGUGAAAGUUUGCAGCUUAACUGUAAAAUUGCCAUUGAUACUGCAAGACUUGAAUGUUUGUGAAGUAGCUAGAAUAUGUAGUGUAGCGGUGAAAUGCUUAGAUAUUACAUGGAAUACCGAUUGCGAAGGCAGGUUACUAACAAAUUAUUGACGCUGAUGGACGAAAGCGUGGGGAGCGAACAGGAUUAGAUACCCCUGUAGUCC